rnacentral:rRNA from 1 species
UACGGAGGGUGCGAGCGUUAUCCGGAAUUACUGGGCUUAAAGGGUGCGUAGGCGGCUUGUUAAGUCAGGAGUGAAAGCUUGCGGCUCAACCGUAAAAUUGCUUUUGAUACUGGCAGGCUAGAAUUAGGAUGAGGUUAGCGGAAUGUGGCAUGUAGCGGUGAAAUGCAUAGAUAUGCCAUAGAACACCAAUUGCGAAGGCAGCUGGCUAGACCUAUAUUGACGCUGAGGCACGAAAGCGUGGGGAGCGAACAGG